CAAGUUGCGUUCAAAGACUCGAUGAUUCGCGGAAUUCUGCAAUUCACACUACGUAUCGCAUUUCGCUGCGUUCUUCAUCGUUGCAGGAGCCAAGAUAUCCGUUGCUGAGAGUUGUGUUCUUUUUUAUUGUUAAAUCUCGUUCCGUUCCUCCCUCGUCUUCUUUUCUCUCUUCUUCUUCUUCUCUCUAUUAUAUAUCUAGAAUAAUAAUAGGAGAAGAAGAAGAGAGAGAGAAGAGAAGAGAGAAGGGAGAAGAGGAACGCGAUUCGGGACUCAGUCAUAUUGUAAGUGAUUCUUGCGCAUGCAUGGUGGGUUUUCCUUGAUCAUCCGAUUCGGUUCCUCCAAGUCCCAUCCAGAGCCCCACCUACCUGCGCAGUUUGGAUUUUUCCAUACCCCCGGAGGAAGAAAAUCUGGGAUGAUGAAAAUGUGAUGAUGAUGAGAGUGACGAUGUGGGUCGCUAGACAGUA
rnacentral:rRNA from 1 species